UACAUGGGGUGCAAACGUUGCUCGGAAUUAUUGGGCGUAAAGCGCACGUAGGCGGUUCGUUAAGUCGGAUGUGAAAGCCCUCGGCUCAACUGAGGAAGUGCACCCGAAACUGGCGAGCUUGAGUACGAAAGAGGAUCGCGGAAUUCCCGGUGUAGAGGUGAAAUUCGUAGAUAUCGGGAGGAACACCAGUGGCGAAGGCGGCGAUCUGGGAAGAUACUGACGCUGAGGUGCGAAAAGCGUGGGGGAGCAAACAGG
rnacentral:rRNA from 1 species